rnacentral:rRNA from 1 species
ACUCAAAUGAAUUGACGGGGGCCCGCACAAGCGGUGGAGCAUGUGGUUUAAUUCGAUGCAACGCGAAGAACCUUACCUGCCCUUGACAUACUAGGAAUCUAGCAGAGAUGUUGGAGUGCCGAAAGGAACCUAGAUACAGGUGCUGCAUGGCUGUCGUCAGCUCGUGUCGUGAGAUGUUGGGUUAAGUCCCGUAACGAGCGCAACCCUUAUCAUUAGUUACCAUCAUUCAGUUGGGGACGCUAAUGAGACUGCUGGUGAGAAGCCGGAGGAAGGCGGGGACGACGUCAAGUCAUCAUGGCCCUUACGGGCAGGGCUACACACGUGCUACAAUGGGGAGUACAGAGGGGAGCUAAGUCGAGAGAUGGAGCGAAUCCUCAAAGCUUUUCGUAGUCCGGAUUGAGGUCUGCAACUCGACCUCAUGAAGUCGGAAUCGCUAGUAAUCGCGAAUCAGCAUGUCGCGGUGAAUACGUUCCCGGGCCUUGUACACACCGCCCGU